rnacentral:lncRNA from 1 species
AUCAGUUGAAUUGAUCACGGUGAGGGUUGUGGGGCAUUGUACACCACUACUAUGGAAGUGGAUGGACUUCGUCACACCCUGGACAAGUUCAUGAAGUAACAAGAUGCUUAGAACAAGUCAAUCCAAGGAAGUUUAGACAAAAUCCUGAAGCUAUUUGAUGAUGUUGUUGCACAAGCUAUAGAUCCAAAUUUGCCAAAUCAAGGUUUUAACUUUAGAGGUAAAAACACAUAUGUGCAACAACAAUCCAUGAAUUAUGUGCCUCACCCACACACUAACAAUGUACAAAACGCUUUGCACUUUAGAGAUGAUGCUCAGUUGCACAACAAGCAAAUUUAUAUAACACCACCAAAUCCUAGAGCUCAAGGGUUCAUCCUAGCCAUGAUCAGUACCGCCAACAAUAUGUUUCUGAUGAGGGUCAAGAAGAAGGGAUGGGAGAAUAUUAUGAUGAAGAGUACUAUGAUUAUGAGCGGGACUGGGUUGCUCAUCCAUGGAAUAUUCAUGAGUUUGAAGAGUCUUUUUCAAAACAACAGCCAAAUCCUCAACCCUAUAUAACCCAUAUAGUUCACCCUUUCACACUGCAGCAACAACCUCAAUAGUACCAGAGAUAAUACCAACAUCAAGCUAAUAUCACUGCACAGCAACAGUUACCCAGAGACCAUAGAGAGAGACAACAACCACCUCCAAUUCCAAAUCACAACCAGCAACCAUUUCCAAACCCAAAUUACAACCAACAGCCACCUCCAAUUCCAAAUUAUAACCAAC